CAUAAGUAGCAGUGGAUGGAAGAAGAGGAAGACAUUUUAAGACCCGUAGCUGUUGCUGCAUUGUGCCUGAGAUGACCCCCUCAGCGCUGGCGUUUGAUAACUUGGUGGAUGUAGAUGCUUAGCCAGUCAGUCACUAGGCUUGUGAAUAUGGAAUCCGGAUGCUCACAAGGACAAGAGGUGUAUGAAAAGAAAACAUAAAGGUAAGAUUUCUGAAUUAUUUUCUAAAUCAAUAAAAUCACAUGAAUUGAA